AGCAGCCGCGGUAAUUCCAGCUCCAAUAGCGUAUAUUAAAGUUGUUGCAGUUAAAAAGCUCGUAGUUGAAUUUCGGGACCAAUCUGCCGGUCGUGCCUCCGGUACGCACUGGUUUUAUUGGUUUCUCCCUUCUGACGAACCAUGAUGUCAUUAAUUUGGUGUCAUGGGGAAUCAGGACUGUUACUUUGGAAAAAUUUAGAGUGUUUAUAGCAGGCUCACGCUUGAAUACAUUAGCAUGGAAUAAUGAAAUAGGACGUUUGAUUCUAUUUUGUUGGUUUCUAGGAUCGACGUAAUGAUUAAUAGGGAUAGUUGGGGGCAUUAGUAUUCAAUUGUCAGAGGUGAAAUUCUUGGAUUUAUUGAAGACUAACUACUGCGAAAGCAUUUGCCAAGGAUGUUUUCAUUAAUCAAGAACGAAAGUUAGGGGAUCGAAGACGAUCAGAUACCGUCGUAGUCUUAACCAUAAACUAUGCCGACUAGGGAUCGGAUGAUGUUAAUUUUUUUAAUGACUCAUUCGGCGCCU
rnacentral:rRNA from 1 species